AUAGGUGAUGAAUCUAGCAGGAUCUGAGCCGUGGCGAUGAUGACGGCUGUACUCUCUGAUU
rnacentral:snoRNA from 22 species